AUGGAUGCAGCUUGGAAUAAACAGGAACAAUCAAGUGUGAAUGGAACAGGGAAAACAGGUAUAGGGAUAUCCAUAGAAGGACAAGAAGGACGAACAAAAUGGCAGAUCAAGAUUUCCGCAACAGCAAUGCAAGCUCAAUCAGCGAUACAUGCCGAAGCUUUGGCGAUCAAGUUAGCAGCCAUCAUCAUAAACAUGACAGGAAUACAUGAGGCUGCCAUUCUAACGGAUAAUUUAACUUUAGCAAAAGCAGCAGCGGCAAGGGAACCAACCAGGCAUUCUGGACACUGGAUGAUUAGAGGUAUAUUAGCAGAUUUCUGUGCCCUCACAAGCUCAAGCCAUGUCCAGGUAUUCCAUGUAAGAAGGAACCACAACUCGGUAGCUCAUGAUGCAGCAAAGCUAGCUUAUUCGCAGGAAUUUAAUCCAAAUCAACACUGUGUAACUACUUGUACUAUUGCUGAACAUCAACGCUGGCAUCAUUCCCUGAAGCAGGUUAUCCAAGAUGUAUCACAAAAGGGAUAUGCCAUUAAUCAUGUAAGCUGUUGUUAUAAUGAAUGA
rnacentral:rRNA from 1 species